UACGUAGGUGACAAGCGUUGUCCGGAUUUACUGGGCGUAAAGGGCGCGUAGGCGGUCGUGACAAGUCACUUGUGAAAUCUCCGGGCUUAACUCGGAAAGGUCAAGUGAUACUGUCGGACUAGAGUACAGAAGGGGCAACUGGAAUUCUCGGUGUAGCGGUGAAAUGCGUAGAUAUCGAGAGGAACACCUGCGGCGAAGGCGGGUUGCUGGGCUGAUAUGUCGCUGAGGCGCGAAAGCUAGGGGAGCGAACGGG
rnacentral:rRNA from 1 species